AACGAACGCUGGCGGCAGGCUUAACACAUGCAAGUCGAGCGCCCCGCAAGGGGAGCGGCAGACGGGUGAGUAACGCGUGGGAAUCUACCCAUCUCUACGGAAUAACGCAUGGAAACGUGUGCUAAUACCGUAUACGUCCUUCGGGAGAAAGAUUUAUCGGAGAUGGAUGAGCCCGCGUUGGAUUAGCUAGUUGGUGGGGUAAAGGCCUACCAAGGCGACGAUCCAUAGCUGGUCUGAGAGGAUGAUCAGCCACACUGGGACUGAGACACGGCCCAGACACCUACGGGCGGCAGCUGUGGGGAAUAUUGGACAAUGGGCGUAAGCCUGAUCCAGCCAUGCCGCGUGAGUGAUGAAGGCCCUAGGGUUGUAAAGCUCUUUCACCGGUGAAGAUAAUGACGGUAACCGGAGAAGAAGGCCCGGCUAACGUCGUGCCAGCCGCCGCAGUAAAAC
rnacentral:rRNA from 1 species